rnacentral:rRNA from 1 species
GAUGAACGCUGGCGGCGUGCUUAACACAUGCAAGUCGAACAGAAAGGCCCAAGCUUGCUUGGGUACUCGAGUGGCGAACGGGUGAGUAACACGUGGGUGAUCUGCCCUGCACUUCGGGAUAAGCCUGGGAAACUGGGUCUAAUACCGGAUAGGACCACGUCUUGGAUGUUGUGGUGGAAAGUUUUUUCGGUGUGGGAUGAGCUCGCGGCCUAUCAGCUUGUUGGUGGGGUAAUGGCCUACCAAGGCGUCGACGGGUAGCCGGCCUGAGAGGGUGUACGGCCACAUUGGGACUGAGAUACGGCCCAGACUCCUACGGGAGGCAGCAGUGGGGAAUAUUGCACAAUGGGCGCAAGCCUGAUGCAGCGACGCCGCGUGGGGGAUGACGGCCUUCGGGUUGUAAACUCCUUUCGCUAGGGACGAAGCGUUUUUGUGACGGUACCUGGAGAAGAAGCACCGGCUAACUACGUG